GGAGGGGACCGGGUCAGCGGGUGGGAGCGGGGACGGGGCGGGAUUGGGGCUGGGAAUGGGGAAUAGUGAGGGAUUGAUGGUGGGAAUGGGGAAUAGUGAGGGAUUGAGGCUGGGAAUGGGGAAUAGUGAGGGAUUGGAGCUGGGAAUGGGGAAUAGUGAGGGAUUGAUGGUGGGAAUGGGGAAUAGUGAGGGAUUGGGGUGGGAAUGGGGAAUAGUGAGGGAUUGGGGCUGGGAAUGGGGAAUAGUGAGGGAUUGGGGCUGGGAAUGGGGAAUAGUGAGGGAUUGGUGGUGGGAAUGGGGAAUAGUGAGGGAUUGGGGCUGGGAAUGGGGAAUAGUGUGGGAUUGAUGGUGGGAAUAGGGAAUAGUGAGGGAUUGAUGGUGGGAAUGGGGAAAGGUGUGGGAUUGGUGCUGGGUGUGGGGAAUAGUGAGGGGUUAACAGAUGGGAGUGGGGAAAGUUGUGGGAUUGAUGGAUGGCGCCCAUGGAUACCAGGAGUGGGGAAAGAUGUGGGGUUAAUGUUGGGAGUGGGGAAAAGUGUGGGGUCAAUGGAUGGAUGCCCCUGGAUGCUGGGAAUGGGGAAGGUGAGGGAUUGAUGGAUGGCACCCAUGGAUGUUGGGAAUGGGGAAGGUGAGGGGUUAAUGCUGGGAAUGCUUCCCUCCCAGGGAAGGAUUUAUUCCCAACCCAUUCCAAACCAGCACAAGGAAUCCUGGAAUGGUUUGGGUUGGAAUUCCCAGGGGAUCCGUGGCUGCCCCUGGAUCCCUGGGAGCCCCCAGGGCUGGAUGGGGUUUGGAGCACCCUGGGACUGUGGGAAGUGGCAUGGGGUGGGACUGGGAUGAUCCUUAGGAUCCUCCAACCCAAACCAUUCCAGGAUUCCAUUUUUAAAAAUCCCAAUUCCAGGACUCCUGACUCAUUCCCAGCAAAUUCCCACAGAAUCCGUGGCUGCCCCAUCCCUGGGAGUGCCCAAGGCCGGGUUUGUCAGGGGUUUGGAGCACCCUGGGAUGAUGGAUGGAAUAUCCCAAGGUCCCUUUCCCACCCUCUGGAAUCCCUGGGAUAAGGAAGGCCGGGCUGGCUUAGCCCUUCCUGUGUGCCUGGAAAAAGGGAAACGAGCUGGGGCCCAGCAGGGCCAGGGGGUAAAAAUAAAAAAUUUGGCUGCAGCUGCUGCUGCUUCCACUUCCCCAGGAGCCCACGGACACCAGGCAGGGCAGGGGCUGAGCUGGAAUCCCAAAUUUUUAUUCCCCCCAAAGGGCAAAACCAGCCCCAGAUUUGGGGAGGGCAGCGGGAUCAGCACCUGCAGCUGGGGCUGAGCCACCCCAAACCCCACCAGGCUGCCCCAGCACCGUGGUUUUCUAAAAAUUUCCAUGAUUUGAGGAUAAAAAAAAAAACCCCACCCCAGACCCUGGCAGCAAAUCCAGGGAUUUUUAAAGCAGGAUGGGGAAGGAAGGGGUGAGGGUGCUGAGGGGGCAGCUCCUGUCUCUUAUUUCAGGAGAGGGAACUGGGAAUGGCCUGGAAGAGCCAGGGAAUUUUUGGAUUUCACGGAUAUUCCCCAGCACCAGGCCCUGCUCAGCUCUGAAAAUCACCAGCAGGGAGCUCCAGGUUGUGGGGUUUGGGAUGGGUGUGGCACGUGGAACCUCCCAUUUUUUGGGGUUUGGGACAGGUUUGGCUCAUGGAACCUCUCAUUUUUUGGGAUUUUGGAUGGGUUUGGCUCAUGGAACCUCCAGGUUUUGGGGUUUUGGGCAGAUCUGGCUCAUGGAA